UGGAUGUGCUGGACCUCUGUCUUUCCUUGGUAAUGGACUGGAUGAAAGCCAAACUGAAGCUCAGUCCAGGUCAUCAAUUUAAUGAGCACCUUUUCCUGCAGCAGAAUUUUGAUUGCUAAUAGUAUAACACAGUCCUGUUACCUGGUAACCAAGAAACAGAAGCCAGAAUUAGGCUAUGGCAGAGAAGAGGCUGGCUUGUUUCCCAAUGACUUCUAUCGGACACAACAUAAACAAGCAUUAUGGGAGGGGCAUGUAAUUGUUUUUGUUCAUUACUAUGUUUUGUGUGUUUCUAUUGUAAAUAAAAUGCAGUGAUCCUUGGA